UACGAAGGGUGCAAGCGUUACUCGGAAUUACUGGGCGUAAAGCGUGCGUAGGUGGUUUGUUAAGUCUGAUGUGAAAGCCCUGGGCUCAACCUGGGGAAUUGCAUUGGAUACUGGCAGGCUAGAGUGCGGUAGAGGAUGGCGGAAUUCCCGGUGUAGCAGUGAAAUGCGUAGAGAUCGGGAGGAACAUCUGUGGCGAAGGCGGCCAUCUGGACCAGCACUGACACUGAGGCACGAAAGCGUGGGGAGCAAACAGG
rnacentral:rRNA from 1 species